CAGCACUUGUAUCCAAAUACGUAACUGCUUAUUUAUUAAAUCAGUUUCAGCACUUAAAAUACUUUUCAGCACCUAAUACUAAUUUGAGUAUAAAAUAUGAUGAAAAAUACUACCUAGUGCUAUUUGAUUUCAUAUAUAUACCACUCCUAUAUUUCCUAUAUCCAACGUCUACUUAUUUAAAAUGGAGAAAAACCUAAGUUGAUCGUUGCUAGUUUCCUCAGAAACCAUGAUUAUGACCACCGCCACACAAACCGCCGCCUCCGAUAUGGUGACCGCCACCCCAAUCGCUGCCUCCGUGAUGAUGACCGACACUCAAACCGCCGCUUCCGUGAUGGUGACCGCCACCAGUAUGGUGGUGGCCACCGGCAGUAGUAGGUUGCAGCUGAUGAAUAAACAUAUUCCUUAUGCCCUUUCUUUAUGUCGAGCUCCUUUUUUCUGCUGCUAGACUUUUUGCUAAGACACAAACCCAUGGUAAUGUGUGUAUACAAUGAAGAAACUAGAAGAAUCAAGAAUGUUAGUAAAUAAGAACGAAGAAGAGAAACUGAGGAAGACGGAUGAAAGGGGAUGAUGGUUCAAGCUAAGGGGGUAAUCUUUCAGCUUUGUUUCUUUGCGUAGAUAUAAACUAAAAAAACUUAUAGAAUGACAGUUUUAUAUAGAAAAGGUCGUCCUCCUCCAACCGAAAUUUCCACUCGCUAUUAUUAUCUCAGUUUGUAUUGUCUUGGAUUUGAAUUCUUACGUACUAAAGUCUAAGUAUAAUACUAAUAGGUCUUAUUUUAGAAUAUAUUACAUGCUAUGAUUUCGAUUUAAUUUAAUUAGUAGACGAGCUUUUUCGAAGUA